CGUAUCACCCAAGACAACUUUACGGAGUUGACGAUUGACGGAGCGAAGCGACGUCAAAGCGUUCAUUAAAGUCGAGUUGGCUUAGGGAUACGUUCGUUGGGUAGGGGAGCGUUCUGUAAGCCUGUGAAGGUGGCCUGUGAGGGUUGCUGGAGGUAUCAGAAGUGCGAAUGCUGACAUAAGUAACGAUAAAGCGGGUGAAAAGCCCGCUCGCCGGAAGACCAAGGGUUCCUGUCCAACGUUAAUCGGGGCAGGGUGAGUCGACCCCUAAGGCGAGGCCGAAAGGCGUAGUCGAUGGGAAACGGGUUAAUAUUCCCGUACUUGGUGUUACUGCGAAGGGGGGACGGAGAAGGCUAUGUUGGCCGGGCGACGGUUGUCCCGGUUUAAGCGUGUAGGUGUGUGUUCCAGGUAAAUCCGGUUCACUUUAACACUGAGGCGUGACGACGAGGCACUACGGUGCUGAAGCAACAAAUGCCCUGCUUCCAGGAAAAGCCUCUAAGCAUCAGGUAACAUCAAAUCGUACCCCAAACCGACACAGGUGGUCAGGUAGAGAAUACCAAGGCGCUUGAGAGAACUCGGGUGAAGGAACUAGGCAAAAUGGUGCCGUAACUUCGGGAGAAGGCACGCUGACAUGUAGGUGAAGUGAUUUACUCAUGGAGCUGAAGUCAGUCGAAGAUACCAGCUGGCUGCAACUGUUUAUUAAAAACACAGCACUGUGCAAACACGAAAGUGGACGUAUACGGUGUGACGCCUGCCCGGUGCCGGAAGGUUAAUUGAUGGGGUCAGCGCAAGCGAAGCUCCUGAUCGAAGCCCCGGUAAACGGCGGCCGUAACUAUAACGGUCCUAAGGUAGCGAAAUUCCUUGUCGGGUAAGUUCCGACCUGCACGAAUGGCGUAAUGAUGGCCAGGCUGUCUCCACCCGAGACUCAGUGAAAUUGAACUCGCUGUGAAGAUGCAGUGUACCCGCGGCAAGACGGAAAGACCCCGUGAACCUUUACUAUAGCUUGACACUGAACAUUGAGCCUUGAUGUGUAGGAUAGGUGGGAGGCUUUGAAGUGUGGACGCCAGUCUGCAUGGAGCCGACCUUGAAAUACCACCCUUUAAUGUUUGAUGUUCUAACGUGGACCCGUGAUCCGGGUUGCGGACAGUGUCUGGUGGGUAGUUUGACUGGGGCGGUCUCCUCCUAAAGAGUAACGGAGGAGCACGAAGGUUGGCUAAUCCUGGUCGGACAUCAGGAGGUUAGUGCAAUGGCAUAAGCCAGCUUGACUGCGAGCGUGACGGCGCGAGCAGGUGCGAAAGCAGGUCAUAGUGAUCCGGUGGUUCUGAAUGGAAGGGCCAUCGCUCAACGGAUAAAAGGUACUCCGGGGAUAACAGGCUGAUACCGCCCAAGAGUUCAUAUCGACGGCGGUGUUUGGCACCUCGAUGUCGGCUCAUCACAUCCUGGGGCUGAAGUAGGUCCCAAGGGUAUGGCUGUUCGCCAUUUAAAGUGGUACGCGAGCUGGGUUUAGAACGUCGUGAGACAGUUCGGUCCCUAUCUGCCGUGGGCGCUGGAGAACUGAGGGGGGCUGCUCCUAGUACGAGAGGACCGGAGUGGACGCAUCACUGGUGUUCGGGUUGUCAUGCCAAUGGCACUGCCCGGUAGCUAAAUGCGGAAGAGAUAAGUGCUGAAAGCAUCUAAGCACGAAACUUGCCCCGAGAUGAGUUCUCCCUGAGACUUUAAGUCUCCUGAAGGAACGUUGAAGACGACGACGUUGAUAGGCCGGGUGUGUAAGCGCAGCGAUGCGUUGAGCUAACCGGUACUAAUGAACCGUGAGGCUUAACCUUACA
rnacentral:rRNA from 1 species